ACAGGGCAAGGACGAGGCAUUCCAUAACCAAAGAGAGGGUGGAUUCCCCCAUUGUUCUUUGAGAUCAAGCAAGAUGGCCUGGUCUACAUUGACAGUUUGUGAACUUGCAUGGAAUUGUAUGUAGAUGAAGUAGAAAAGAAAAGUAGAGUAACAGAAUGAGAAAGAUGGAGAACUGUAUAUGAAAGUAGAUGCCUUGAACCCAUGUUGUUAACAUAUACUCUACUCUUAAAGACAGUCAAAGCUUGGUGUGGUUUGUUCUUACACGGCACAGCCAAAGUCCAAAAGCUGGUAACUAUAUUCAUGUUCUUUACCAAACUCACCAAUGGAUUUGACAUGAUUGUUACUUUAUAGAUGUGGAUAUAUAUUCAUUUCCUCAGUUCAUGAACAUUUCUGUUUUUUUAAGUCUCCCUCCAAGUCCUACAUUCCAGUAACUCCAAAUUUCCAUUACUUUCAUGUGAUAUUGGAAAGUAUAUACGGAGUGGUUUUGAAACGGUUAAAAUUACUUAGUCGGAUUUAAAAUCACUCUCCAA